GACGAACGCUGGCGGCGUGCUUAACACAUGCAAGUCGAACGGAAAGGCCCUGCUUUUGUGGGGUGCUCGAGUGGCGAACGGGUGAGUAACACGUGAGUAACCUGCCCUUGACUUUGGGAUAACUUCAGGAAACUGGGGCUAAUACCGGAUAGGAGCUCCUGCUGCAUGGUGGGGGUUGGAAAGUUUCGGCGGUUGGGGAUGGACUCGCGGCUUAUCAGCUUGUUGGUGGGGUAGUGGCUUACCAAGGCUUUGACGGGUAGCCGGCCUGAGAGGGUGACCGGCCACAUUGGGACUGCGAUACGGCCCAGACUCCUACGGGAGGCAGCAGUGGGGAAUAUUGCAGAAUGGGCGGAAGCCUGAUGCAGCAACGCCGCGUGCGGGAUGACGGCCUUCGGGUUGUAAACCGCUUUCGACUGUGACGAAGCGUGAGUGACGGUAAUGGGUAAAGAAGCACCGGCUAACUACGUG
rnacentral:rRNA from 1 species